GUCGAACGAGUUCUGAUUAUUGAAAGGUGCUUGCAUCUUGAUUUGAUUUUGAACGAGUGGCGGACGGGUGAGUAACACGUGGGUAACCUGCCCUUAAGUGGGGGAUAACAUUUGGAAACAGAUGCUAAUACCGCAUAAAUCCAAGAACCGCAUGGUUCUUGGCUGAAAGAUGGCGUAAGCUAUCGCUUUUGGAUGGACCCGCGGCGUAUUAGCUAGUUGGUGAGGUAACGGCUCACCAAGGCAAUGAUACGUAGCCGAACUGAGAGGUUGAUCGGCCACAUUGGGACUGAGACACGGCCCAAACUCCUACGGGAGGCAGCAGUAGGGAAUCUUCCACAAUGGACGCAAGUCUGAUGGAGCAACGCCGCGUGAGUGAAGAAGGCUUUCGGGUCGUAAAACUCUGUUGUUGGAGAAGAAUGGUCGGCAGAGUAACUGUUGUCGGCGUGACGGUAUCCAACCAGAAAGCCACGGCUAACUACGUGCCAGCAGCCGCGGUAAUACGUAGGUGGCAAGCGUUAUCCGGAUUUAUUGGGCGUAAAGCGAGCGCAGGCGGUUUUUUAAGUCUGAUGUGAAAGCCCUCGGCUUAACCGAGGAAGUGCAUCGGAAACUGGGAAACUUGAGUGCAGAAGAGGACAGUGGAACUCCAUGUGUAGCGGUGAAAUGCGUAGAUAUAUGGAAGAACACCAGUGGCGAAGGCGGCUGUCUGGUCUGUAACUGACGCUGAGGCUCGAAAGCAUGGGUAGCGAACAGGAUUAGAUACCCUGGUAGUCCAUGCCGUAAACGAUGAAUGCUAGGUGUUGGAGGGUUUCCGCCCUUCAGUGCCGCAGCUAACGCAUUAAGCAUUCCGCCUGGGGAGUACGACCGCAAGGUUGAAACUCAAAGGAAUUGACGGGGGCCCGCACAAGCGGUGGAGCAUGUGGUUUAAUUCGAAGCAACGCGAAGAACCUUACCAGGUCUUGACAUCUUUUGAUCACCUGAGAGAUCAGGUUUCCCCUUCGGGGGCAAAAUGACAGGUGGUGCAUGGUUGUCGUCAGCUCGUGUCGUGAGAUGUUGGGUUAAGUCCCGCAACGAGCGCAACCCUUAUGACUAGUUGCCAGCAUUUAGUUGGGCACUCUAGUAAGACUGCCGGUGACAAACCGGAGGAAGGUGGGGAUGACGUCAAAUCAUCAUGCCCCUUAUGACCUGGGCUACACACGUGCUACAAUGGAUGGUACAACGAGUUGCGAGACCGCGAGGUCAAGCUAAUCUCUUAAAGCCAUUCUCAGUUCGGACUGUAGGCUGCAACUCGCCUACACGAAGUCGGAAUCGCUAGUAAUCGCGGAUCAGCACGCCGCGGUGAAUACGUUCCCGGGCCUUGUACACACCGCCCGUCACACCAUGAGAGUUUGUAACACCCGAAGCCGGUGGCGUAACCCUUUUAGGGAGCGAGC
rnacentral:rRNA from 1 species